rnacentral:rRNA from 1 species
AGCAGCAGCCGCGGUAACACGGAGGAUCCAAGCGUUAUCCGGAAUCAUUGGGUUUAAAGGGUCCGUAGGCGGUCUUGUAAGUCAGUGGUGAAAGCCCAUCGCUCAACGGUGGAACGGCCAUUGAUACUGCAGGACUUGAAUUAUUGGGAAGUAACUAGAAUAUGUAGUGUAGCGGUGAAAUGCUUAGAGAUUACAUGGAAUACCAAUUGCGAAGGCAGGUUACUACCAAUUGAUUGACGCUGAUGGACGAAAGCGUGGGUAGCGAACAGGAUUAGAUACCCCUGUAGUCCCUGUCUCUUAUAC